CGCACGCACACACACACACACACACACACACACACACACACACACACACAAAGUGAAGCGCAAACAGUUGGAUAUGGAAAUGACUGGAAAUCGAUUCAUAUGGACUGCAGAUAAGAAAACCAUACUGUAACUUGAUUCCAGACACAAAAAAAAGAAAAUGCCACAAUCCAUUGCGAAAAAAACGUGAUCCAUCUUCACAGAGGUGUUUUGAAAAAAUCAACAUAUUUCGGCUCACACGAAAUCUCGAUUGGGAAAUGGCCGACCCCACUCAAACACUUCGGAUAGUUAUCGGUUCGUAAUCGCACCAGAAGUGGCUGGUGGAAAAAACAAUGAAAAAAAAUCAAUGAAUACGCUAACAUGUGUCGGCUGAUUAUCGAAUGAGCGAAUAACAACUCGUAAAAACAAAAAGACGCAAUCCAUAAAGCUGCACGUGAUGUAUGACUAAUGCCAUGGGGGAUGGGAAAAUGAGAUAAGAUCCGCAGAUUCUCAAGAUGAUCAUUUAACAAUUAAUAUAACUUACAAAUUUCAGUGCAUUUGAGUGAAAGAAGGUCAAGGAGUGUAAAACCAGAAAUUAUUAACUCCUAGGCGUUCCUGUCAUCGGAUGCCUUUCAGCGUUUCGCAGGCCUCAAAAGAAAUUUCACAACUCUUUACGUGGGACAAACAAUAAACUUAAACAACAAUAAAACUUCGGGGGCUUAGUGAAAAUUCGGCAUGUAACAAGUUAUGAAGCUCAUAACUUAAAAGUACAGCAGGGAUUUGUAGGCAAUUCCAUAUUCUUUUUAGUAACACUCACGGAAGAUGGUCAUCAGAUAUUAAUCUGGUGUAUCAUCAUCCUCUUCUUCAUCAUUUUUCGAUGAAUUGAGAUGAUCUACAAUUAUGGUCACCAGGCUUGAAGUUUCGAUGGAAACAAGAUUACGAUAAAAACAUCAAAACCUACCAACAGGCAGUUAUAAGGUCUUCCCAAGUUUCGUCAUUCAUCGAUGAAUCAUUGAUGAAAAUACAAAAAAUAAAAUAAA